rnacentral:rRNA from 1 species
CUUGUUGUGACUGCGGAGGACAUUAUCGAGUCUUGACUGGGUUGUAGCUGGCCUUCCGAGGCAUGUGCACGCCCGGCUCAUCCCACUCUACACCUGUGCACUUACUGUGGGUUUCAGAUGGUGGAGCGUUCCUUUACGGGUUCGUGAAGCUGUCCGAGCCUGCGUUUAUUAUAAACCCUUUAAAGUAACAGAAUGUGUAUUGCGAUGUAACGCAUUUAUAUACAACUUUCAGCAACGGAUCUCUUGGCUCUCGCAUCGAUGAAGAACGCAGCGAAAUGCGAUAAGUAAUGUGAAUUGCAGAAUUCAGUGAAUCAUCGAAUCUUUGAACGCACCUUGCGCUCCUUGGUAUUCCGAGGAGCAUGCCUGUUUGAGUGUCAUGAAAUCAUCAACUUACAAGCCCUUGCGGGUGAGUAAGCUUGGACUUGGAGGUGCUUGUCGGCCCUAGUGGUCGACUCCUCUUAAAUGCAUUAGCUUGAUUCCUUGUGGAUCGGCUCUCGGUGUGAUAAUUGUCUACGCCGCGACCGUGAAGCGUUUAUGGGGGGCUUCUAACCCUCUCUUCCGAAAACGCGCUUUGACCUCUGACCUCCAAUCAGGGAAGAAUACCCGCUGAACUUAAGGCAUUAUA